rnacentral:rRNA from 1 species
GACGAACGCUGGCGGCGUGCUUAACACAUGCGAGUCGAACGAUGACGACCGAGCUUGCUCGGUCUGAUUAGUGGCGAACGGGUGAGUAACACGUGAGCAACCUGCCCUUCACUCUGGGAUAACCUCGGGAAAUCGGGGCUAAUACCGGAUAUGAGCUCCUGUCGCAUGGCGGGUGUUGGAAAGUUUUUCGGUGAAGGAUGAGCUCGCGGCCUAUCAGUUUGUUGGUGAGGUAGUGGCUCACCAAGGCGAUGACGGGUAGCCGGCCUGAGAGGGCGACCGGCCACACUGGGACUGAGACACGGCCCAGACUCCUACGGGAGGCAGCAGUGGGGAAUAUUGCACAAUGGGCGAAAGCCUGAUGCAGCGACGCCGCGUGAGGGAUGACGGCCUUCGGGUUGUAAACCUCUUUCAGCAGGGAAGAAGCGAAAGUGACGGUACCUGCAGAAGAAGCGCCGGCUAACUACGUG